GAUGAAGAACGUAGCGAAAUGCGAUAAGUAAUGUGAAUUGCAGAAUUUUGUGAAUCAUCGAAUCUUUGAACGCACAUUGCGCCCGCCAGUAUUCUGGCGGGCAUGCCUGUUCGAGCGUCAUUACAACCCUCAGGCCCCCGGGCCUGGCGUUGGGGAUCGGCGGAAGCCCCCUGCGGGCACAACGCCGUCCCCCAAAUACAGUGGCGGUCCCGCCGCAGCUUCCAUUGCGUAGUAGCUAACACCUCGCAACUGGAGAGCGGCGCGGCCACGCCGUAAAACACCCAACUUCUGAAUGUUGACCUCGAAUCAGGUAGGAAUACCCGCUGAACUUAAGCAUAUCAAUAAGCGGAGGA
rnacentral:misc_RNA from 1 species